GCCUUCGUGGUGUAGGCACGCUCGACUAGUAACCGAGAGGUCCGUGGUUCGAUUCGCGGCUAAGGCG
rnacentral:tRNA from 1 species